rnacentral:rRNA from 1 species
CAGCAGCAGCCGCGGGAAUACAGAGGGUGCAAGCGUUAAUCGGAUUUACUGGGCGUAAAGCGUGCGUAGGCGGCUUCUUAAGUCGGAUGUGAAAUCCAUGAGCUUAACUUAGGAAUUGCAUUCGAUACUGGGAAGCUAGAGUAUGGGAGAGGAUGGUAGAAUUCCAGGUGUAGCGGUGAAAUGCGUAGAGAUCUGGAGGAAUACCGAUGGCGAAGGCAGCCAUCUGGCCUAAUACUGACGCUGAGGUACGAAAGCAUGGGGAGCAAACAGGAUUAGAUACCCCAGUAGUCCCUGUCUCUUAUAC